rnacentral:rRNA from 1 species
UACGUAGGUGGCAAGCGUUGUCCGGAUUUACUGGGCGUAAAGGGCGUGCAGGCGGUUUGUUAAGUCUAGGGUGAAAGCUCCCGGCUCAACUGGGAGAGGUCCUUGGAUACUGGCAGACUUGAGGAGGGUAGAGGAGAGUGGAAUUCCCGGUGUAGUGGUGAUAUGCGUAGAUAUCGGGAGGAACACCAGUGGCGAAGGCGGCUCUCUGGGCCCUACCUGACGCUGAGACGCGAAAAGCGUGAGGAGCGAACCGG